UACGUAGGGUGCGAGCGUUGUCCGGAAUUAUUGGGCGUAAAGGGCUCGUAGGCGGUUUGUCGCGUCGGGAGUGAAAUCCACUGGCUUAACUGGUGGCUUGCUUUCGAUACGGGCAGACUGGAGGUAUGCAGGGGAGAACGGAAUUCCUGGUGUAGCGGUGAAAUGCGCAGAUAUCAGGAGGAACACCAGUGGCGAAGGCGGUUCUCUGGGCAGUAACUGACGCUGAGGAGCGAAAGCGUGGGGAGCGAACAGG
rnacentral:rRNA from 1 species